GAUGAACGCUAGCGGCGUGCUUAAUACAUGCAAGUCGAACGGAAAGCCCCUGCUUUUUUCUGAUGCUCGAGUGGCGAACGGGCGUGUAACACGUGUGUACUCCGUUCUUCACUUGGGUAGCACUUCAGGAAAGUGAGUAAACUCGCAUAUAAUCACUCCACCGCCUUGUUUGGUGAUCGAAUGUUUCGGCGGUAGGGAUUGGACUCCGGGGCAUUCAGUAUGUGGGGGGGUUAGGGGCUUACCAAGGCAUUGACGGGUGGGCGGCCUGAGGGGGUGAACGGACACAUGGGGAAGGAGAUGCGGCCCAGACGCCUACGGGAGGCAGCAGUGGGGAAUAGUGCACAAUGGGCGGAAGCCUGAUGCAGCAACGCCGCGUGCGGGAUGACGACCUUCGGGUUGUAAACCGCUUUCGCCUGUGACGAAGCGUGAGUGACGGUAAUGGGUAAAGAAGCACCGGCUAACUACGUG
rnacentral:rRNA from 1 species